rnacentral:rRNA from 1 species
AUUGAACGCUGGCGGCAGGCCUAACACAUGCAAGUCGAACGGUAACAGAAAGCAGCUUGCUGCUUUGCUGACGAGUGGCGGACGGGUGAGUAAUGUCUGGGAAACUGCCUGAUGGAGGGGGAUAACUACUGGAAACGGUAGCUAAUACCGCAUAACGUCGCAAGACCAAAGAGGGGGACCUUCGGGCCUCUUGCCAUCGGAUGUGCCCAGAUGGGAUUAGCUAGUAGGUGGGGUAACGGCUCACCUAGGCGACGAUCCCUAGCUGGUCCGAGAGGAUGACCAGCCACACUGGAACUGAGACACGGUCCAGACUCCUACGGGAGGCAGCAGUGGGGAAUAUUGCACAAUGGGCGCAAGCCUGAUGCAGCCAUGCCGCGUGUAUGAAGAAGGCCUUCGGGUUGUAAAGUACUUUCAGCGGGGAGGAAGGGAGUAAAGUUAAUACCUUUGCUCAUUGACGUUACCCGCAGAAGAAGCACCGGCUAACUCCGUG